UACGGAGGGAGCUAGCGUUGUUCGGAUAUACUGGGCGUAAAGCGCACGUAGGCGGCGUCGUAAGUCAGGGGUGAAAUCCCGGAGCUCAACUCCCGGAACUGCCCUUGAAACUGCAAUGCUAGAAUCUUGGAGAGGCGAGUGGAAUUCCGAGUGUAGAGGUGAAAUUCGUAGAUAUUCGGAAGAACACCCAGUGGCGAAGGCGACUCGCUGGACAAGUAUUGACGCUGAGGUGCGAAAGCGUGGGGAUCCAAACAGGAUUA
rnacentral:rRNA from 1 species